rnacentral:rRNA from 1 species
UACGUAGGGUGCAAGCGUUGUCCGGAAUUAUUGGGCGUAAAGAGCUCGUAGGCGGUCUGUCGCGUCUGGUGUGAAAAUCCAGGGCUUAACCCUGGACCUGCAUCGGGUACGGGCAGACUAGAGUGCGGUAGGGGAGAUCGGAAUUCCUGGUGUAGCGGUGAAAUGCGCAGAUAUCAGGAGGAACACCGGUGGCGAAGGCGGGACUCUGGGCCGAUACUGACGCUGAGGAGCGAAAGCGUGGGGAGCGAACAGG